GACGAACGCUGGCGGCGUGCUUAACACAUGCAAGUCGAACGAUGAAGGAGAGCUUGCUCUCCGGAUUAGUGGCGAACGGGUGAGUAACACGUGACUAACCUGCCCCUUUCUCUGGGAUAACGCUCCGAAAGGAGUGCUAAUACCGGAUACGACCUGUGAUCACAUGUUCGGAGUUGGAUAGUUUGUGGGAAAGGGAUGGAGUCGCGGCCUAUCAGCUUGUUGGUGAGGUAAUGGAUCACCCAAGCGACGACGGGAAGCCGGCCUGCAAGGGCGCCCGGCCACACUGGGACUGAGACACGGCCCAGACUCCUCCGGGAGGCAGCAGUGGGGAUUAUUGCACAAUGGGCGAAAGCCUGGUGCAGAGACGCCGCGUGAGGGAUGAAGGUCUUCGUAUUGUAAACCUCUUUCAGUAGGGACGAAGCGAAAGUGACGGUACCUAAAGAAGAAGCACCGGCUAACUACGUGCCAGCCGCCGCCGUAA
rnacentral:rRNA from 1 species